GUUAACGCUUGGUAUACCCUCUUUUGGUGAAUUCUAAACAAUCCAAAAUUGGUGCCAAAAUAACGAAGUGCCGCCCAAAAUCAAUCAAAAUCUGUGGAAAAUACUGCCAAAAGGCCCUAAUAGGUUGUGUGAAUUCUAGAGGCGUUAAAGAAAAGAUUCUUGAUUGACUCGCUAGCAAUCCUAUUGUUGACCCAUACGGGUCUAAUGGUAGAAAAUGCGUCUUAGAGAUGCUUGGUAGGUGUUUGAGAAAAUGGAUGAGAGAUAUGUGAUUUUAUUUAAACGGUUUGUUGGUGGGUACGCUAGAAGUCGGCAUCGCGACGAGACACUACAGUUGUAUGGGAAGAUGCCGUGGGUUGGUUGGCGUGGGAAAUGACCUGAUGAGUAUACUUCCCCUCAUAUUUUCAACAGUUGCGGCGGUUUGUGGCCUGUGGGAUCCGGAGAGGGAAUUCAUGGUCAUUUGAUAAUGUUUGAAUUCGUUGUUGUAAUUUGUAAAUGCUUUAAUCCUUAUUUUUGCCAAGCGGCAUCUUGGGCGUGCGAGGAUGGUGUGCAGUGGGAUGUUUUAGGAUCUCGUAGAAAAUGAUGAUCUUGGUGCAUUUGGAGGAUGGACAGUAUUUGGUAGGAUUGAGGUUGUUCUUUCGACGAAUAAGUGCUGUUUUAACCAUUUUUACUAAUUCUGAUGCAGCAUCCUCCGCAGAGGGACUGCAUUGUUGGAUUUGGCUGCUCUUAUGGGGGUGCUUACAUCCUACAAUCAAACAAAUAAGAACUCUCCGGAAAUUUCUGCUUUAGGUUUAACCUACUAAGUUCAAAAAAUUAUACCCGUUUACUGGUUAAUUUCUUUCCAUUUUCUGGAUUAUAAGUAUUGAAAGUUGAUUUUUGAAUUUAUUUUAAUCUCCAGUACUAUCAGAUUAGAAGGUAAAUUAUAGCUGUUUUGCAUACCAGCUCUAAAAUUUCUUAUAGAAGGAAGGCAAAUCAACGAAAGAAUUUAGCAUAUUUCGGUUCUUACGCCGGAUUAUUACAUUUCUCUUUCAUGUAGUUAAAUUAAUUUUAUAUUGUUGUUACUUCUUUUUCUUGUUUCUCGCUGAAGUUAUAUCCAUAUCAAUUUAUUUCAUUUUAACUUGAACUCCAUGUUUUGGCACAUUUUGUAUUUCAAAAUGAAACAGCACAUCCCAAGGUUCUUGGUAAAUAUUCGUUUGUGGAGAAACAGUAAUUGGCCAUGAAUGGUUUAUGAAUUAUAUGCAGGCUGGAGCAAAUUACUACUACGUUAUCUUUAACAAUAUUGUGGUAUAUCUGGAUAGGUAUUUAAAAAGGUUCUUGUGAUCUUAAUGUAAUAAGAUAUGGUGUUUAAUCAUUAAAAAUAAUUAAAGAUAAUGUAAUUGGGUAGCUUAUAGGGACGACCUAUAGUUUUGCAUGUGAGAUGACUUCUCGUGGUGGUAAUUGGUUUAGAAAGAAACAAUGAAGACAGAUUUUAUGGGAUCUUUAUAUUGAUGAUAAGACAGAAAACUAAACUGUUUCUGUUUUGCUGUGUAUAAAGCUUCUUUAUAUUAACUAGGGAUUUUGUCCUUAGAAAGUGAAAAAAUAUUUGCUACUAAGACUAUGGAUAUCUAGGAAGUUCACUUAUUUCUUAUCCCAAGUAAUAUUAUUGCAGGUACCUGAAUAUUGAAACUCUCCAUUAUUUUCAUAAUUUUUUUCCUUCAUUAUGAACUAAUUGUUGGUAUGAGGUUGCUAUUAAAAGCAAUAAAGCUGAUCUUGUAACCCACUUACCUACUAUUAUAUUAGGAUAAGUUCGAGAGAAGAAUUGGGUCAGUUUUGUAUGCCCAACUUUGUAAUUUUUUUCUCCUUGGACAUGCUAUACUUUGACUACUCCUGAGAUAUAAUGUGAACAUUUUGUUACGGUGGCAAGCUGAGUGAGAGAUAUUCUUCUAUAUCAUUAGAACAAAUCAACGAAGGCAUAACGUGCCAUUGGGGGUGGCAAAAGCACGUCAUACUAUGUGAUGGAAGGCAAGGUAGUUGUUAGUCCCCUUUUUUCUGCUUUAAGAAAAAUAUAGAACUAUAUUGAUACAUAUAUGAUCGUUGACUUUGUUUUCGUGUAAAUGAUUUAUUUUCUAUAUACGAUUUCAUUGAUUUGCAAUACCAUCAACUGACAACAAGUUCUUUAGGUUAAUGGGGUAAGGUUCAUGUUGAGACUAGACAAGUUCUCUUUUGGAUAACCUUUAGUGUGCAGAAGGAAUUGGGUCUUUCCUUUAGCAGACACGCUAAGGAUUCUCGGUGUCAAUCUGUGCAUCAUUUAAAUAUGAAAUUUCAAUCAUACCCAGAUUAUCGCCCUACCUAGCUAGUAAAUCAAACUCCAAUGAAUAAGGAUCCAAUCAUCUAUGUCUGAGUUUAGCAUUUGGGUUUUGAGAUGUUAUACAGUCAAUUAAGGGGAUGGAUCUAAUCCAAUAAAAAAAAGGUUUCCUUUAGGAAAAUAAAUUAGAAAAAUAGGAUUCAAAAGGCAGGUACAAUAAAAAUUUCGUAAUCCAGGUCCUUCCCUUUUUAUUCUUCUUUUAUGCGAGUUGCAGUCCUUUAUGUAAACCUCAUAAUUAGAGGCAAGGGAAAUCUAUUGAUCAAGCCAACUAGUUUACCUAGAUGUAAUUUCUUUCCUUUAAAUUUUAGAUGAAAUCAUAGUCUUUUAUAUUGCCCCAUGACUUCCAUUCAAUCUGAGAUUUAACCUUGGUAAAACACAGUUCCAAUCUUUCUUCUUGGUGUCUUCUCUUUUUUCCAGACUAUGCUUAAGUUUGUUAGGCAUCCGCAUUGCAUUAAUGCCUUCUAACAAGCCUUUGGUAGGAUAAAAUUAUCGGCCAAAGGCAAUUACAUUUUGUUGCUAAAAUAAAUAUGCUCUUGUGACAAAUUGAUUGGAGUUCAAACAAUUAGGUAGCUUUUACUUAAACACAAACAACUUGUUCUUAUUUCUUUGCUUCGUUCUUGAAACCUACCGCAAAAAUGGUUGGUUUUCCUAAUUUUUCACGCUCUUGCUACAGUUGAAUGAUCCUCUUUGAAUAAUUUUCCAACCCAAGGGUAGCUGUAAUUUCUCAAAGCUAUUUAUAACAUUGUAAUAUUGCGGCCAAGGUGGUCGAAGAGUAGAGUUUUGGUGGUCGAAAAGUGGUGACUCUAAUACUUUCGACCAUUUUUUGUAUUUGGUCAUCCCAUUUUGGCUUGAAUUUUCGACCAAAUCAGUUGGUGUUAUGGCCAGAGUUUGGGUGGGUUGCGAAGAGGGAAGUGAGGACUUCAAGGUGAUAUGUCGAUCCGACGACCAAGGUGGCCGGAGGGUGGAUUUUGGUGGUCCAUAAAUGGUGACUCUAAGGUGAUUUAGGGGUUGGAAAGUUCAGCGACUUCUAGAAAAUUUUUUGUAAAGUUCAAUGACUAUUUAGGUGAUUUUUAAAGUUCAGUGACUUUAAAAAACUUUUUGUAAAGUUUAGUGAUCAUUUGGGUAAUUUUUAAAGUUCAGUGAUCCCUUGAAAAUCUUUUACAAAAUUCAAUGACUUUUGGCGUAAUUAACCCAAAUCUUGGAUUUGAUAGUUGAAAUUUGCUAUUUUUACACUGAUUUAUGACGUUUGCAUUAUUAUCAAGUGUCAAUUAGAUAAAAAAUUAUUUGAAAUUUAAACUAUUCAAUAAAAUAGGGGUACCUGAUAAAGUGUAAAUUAAAGUGCAUAUUCAUCAAGGUUGUUUGAUAGUUAACGCUUGGUAUACCCUCUUUUGGUGAAUUCUAAACAAUCCAAAAUUGGUGCCAAAAUAACGAAGUGCCGCCCAAAAUCAAUCAAAAUCUGUGGAAAAUACUGCCAAAAGGCCCUAAUAGGUUGUGUGAAUUCUAGAGGCGUUAAAGAAAAGAUUCUUGAUUGACUCGCUAGCAAUCCUAUUGUUGACCCAUACGGGUCUAAUGGUAGAAAAUGCGUCUUAGAGAUGCUUGGUAGGUGUUUGAGAAAAUGGAUGAGAGAUAUGUGAUUUUAUUUAAACGGUUUGUUGGUGGGUACGCUAGAAGUCGGCAUCGCGACGAUGGUUGAAUGAUCCUCUUUGAAUAAUUUUCCAACCCAAGGGUAGCUGUAAUUUCUCAAAGCUAUUUAUAACAUUGUAAUAUUCUUGUUCACACGAAAAAGAAAAUGUUGUUUGUUUGGUUGUAGGAUGUAAAAUACGUCGGUAGGAGAGAGAUAUGUGAUUUUAUUUAAACGGUUUGUUGGUGGGUACGCUAGAAGUCGGCAUCGCGACGAGACACUACAGUUGUAUGGGAAGAUGCCGUGGGUUGGUUGGCGUGGGAAAUGACCUGAUGAGUAUACUUCCCCUCAUAUUUUCAACAGUUGCGGCGGUUUGUGGCCUGUGGGAUCCGGAGAGGGAAUUCAUGGUCAUUUGAUAAUGUUUGAAUUCGUUGUUGUAAUUUGUAAAUGCUUUAAUCCUUAUUUUUGCCAAGCGGCAUCUUGGGCGUGCGAGGAUGGUGUGCAGUGGGAUGUUUUAGGAUCUCGUAGAAAAUGAUGAUCUUGGUGCAUUUGGAGGAUGGACAGUAUUUGGUAGGAUUGAGGUUGUUCUUUCGACGAAUAAGUGCUGUUUUAACCAUUUUUACUAAUUCUGAUGCAGCAUCCUCCGCAGAGGGACUGCAUUGUUGGAUUUGGCUGCUCUUAUGGGGGUGCUUACAUCCUACAAUCAAACAAAUAAGAACUCUCCGGAAAUUUCUGCUUUAGGUUUAACCUACUAAGUUCAAAAAAUUAUACCCGUUUACUGGUUAAUUUCUUUCCAUUUUCUGGAUUAUAAGUAUUGAAAGUUGAUUUUUGAAUUUAUUUUAAUCUCCAGUACUAUCAGAUUAGAAGGUAAAUUAUAGCUGUUUUGCAUACCAGCUCUAAAAUUUCUUAUAGAAGGAAGGCAAAUCAACGAAAGAAUUUAGCAUAUUUCGGUUCUUACGCCGGAUUAUUACAUUUCUCUUUCAUGUAGUUAAAUUAAUUUUAUAUUGUUGUUACUUCUUUUUCUUGUUUCUCGCUGAAGUUAUAUCCAUAUCAAUUUAUUUCAUUUUAACUUGAACUCCAUGUUUUGGCACAUUUUGUAUUUCAAAAUGAAACAGCACAUCCCAAGGUUCUUGGUAAAUAUUCGUUUGUGGAGAAACAGUAAUUGGCCAUGAAUGGUUUAUGAAUUAUAUGCAGGCUGGAGCAAAUUACUACUACGUUAUCUUUAACAAUAUUGUGGUAUAUCUGGAUAGGUAUUUAAAAAGGUUCUUGUGAUCUUAAUGUAAUAAGAUAUGGUGUUUAAUCAUUAAAAAUAAUUAAAGAUAAUGUAAUUGGGUAGCUUAUAGGGACGACCUAUAGUUUUGCAUGUGAGAUGACUUCUCGUGGUGGUAAUUGGUUUAGAAAGAAACAAUGAAGACAGAUUUUAUGGGAUCUUUAUAUUGAUGAUAAGACAGAAAACUAAACUGUUUCUGUUUUGCUGUGUAUAAAGCUUCUUUAUAUUAACUAGGGAUUUUGUCCUUAGAAAGUGAAAAAAUAUUUGCUACUAAGACUAUGGAUAUCUAGGAAGUUCACUUAUUUCUUAUCCCAAGUAAUAUUAUUGCAGGUACCUGAAUAUUGAAACUCUCCAUUAUUUUCAUAAUUUUUUUCCUUCAUUAUGAACUAAUUGUUGGUAUGAGGUUGCUAUUAAAAGCAAUAAAGCUGAUCUUGUAACCCACUUACCUACUAUUAUAUUAGGAUAAGUUCGAGAGAAGAAUUGGGUCAGUUUUGUAUGCCCAACUUAGUAAUUUUUUUCUCCUUGGACAUGCUAUACUUUGACUACUCCUGAGAUAUAAUGUGAACAUUUUGUUACGGUGGCAAGCUGAGUGAGAGAUAUUCUUCUAUAUCAUUAGAACAAAUCAACGAAGGCAUANNNNNNNNNNNNNNNNNNNNNNNNNNNNNNNNNNNNNNNNNNNNNNNNNNNNNNNNNNNNNNNNNNNNNNNNNNNNNNNNNNNNNNNNNNNNNNNNNNNNNNNNNNNNNNNNNNNNNNNNNNNNNNNNNNNNNNNNNNNNNNNNNNNNNNNNNNNNNNNNNNNNNNNNNNNNNNNNNNNNNNNNNNNNNNNNNNNNNNNNNNNNNNNNNNNNNNNNNNNNNNNNNNNNNNNNNNNNNNNNNNNNNNNNNNNNNNNNNNNNNNNNNNNNNNNNNNNNNNNNNNNNNNNNNNNNNNNNNNNNNNNNNNNNNNNNNNNNNNNNNNNNNNNNNNNNNNNNNNNNNNNNNNNNNNNNNNNNNNNNNNNNNNNNNNNNNNNNNNNNNNNNNNNNNNNNNNNNNNNNNNNNNNNNNNNNNNNNNNNNNNNNNNNNNNNNNNNNNNNNNNNNNNNNNNNNNNNNNNNNNNNNNNNNNNNNNNNNACGUUGUCUACAUUUCUCAGACCGAGGAAUAUAAAGUUCUAUGUCUUUAUUCUAAAGCUAGACCAUUGAAAUGGGACGUAUGGACACUUGGUAUUGAUCGAGAAUGGAGACGUUUUUUUGCUCCAACCUAUGAUCCUGAGUACAUGCUUAGUAGUGUUAGUGUUGCUGAGGUGGUUUAUGUUACCGUGAAGCCGACUACCAUCAUAGCAAUCAAUCUACUUACUGAAAAAUUUGGUUUCAUUGAGCUUUCCAGAGAAAUUCUUACCUUACCCUAUUUAUGUGUAGACGUGAAAAAUACGUUAUCUUUUCUUGUAAAACAAGGGGCCAAUGCAUGUAUAUGUGUGUUGAGGGACUUGGAGAAGCAAGAACUGGUUAAAGUUUGUGAGAUAAAAGGUACAUUUCGAGGGAUGGAUGUUUCAAGUGAUCGUUUCGCUUCCAUUGGCUGGUUGGAGAAUAACUGGUUCUACGUCUUUCAAAGAAGGCUGUCUGGUCACUUGCGGAGUAAUCGUCUUGAGGUCUAUGACGAGAACACAGGAAAAGCACGUGUGCUUAGCAUUGUCAAUGGAAAUCAUUAUCAGAAUUACCAAAUUCACUCCAGCUCCCUUGUUACAUGGGACACAUUAUUCAGUUUCUGUUUGGAAUAAGCAGAGAAAUCUUCUUAGGUUCUUUGGAUUUUGUUAGAAUACUAAUAUUAGUUAAAUUUUCAAUCGUUUCAUCCCNNNNNNNNNNNNNNNNNNNNNNNNNNNNNNNNNNNNNNNNNNNNCCCCCCCCCAAAAAAAUUGUUUCUCGUGCAUGAAAAAAGAAUUUAUUUUCCUUUUGUUGUGGGUAUCAUGAAUAUCGUCAUGGAAAAAUAUGGUUUUUUUCUGAAAAUUUACUCUUUGACUGAACACAAAAUGAAAUGUAGAGGUUUCAACCGUCCACAGGUCAAAUUUGUAAAGAUUAGUUCCAUUAUUUGAAUGUGGAAGCUUCCAUUGGUGUUGUAUAUUAUUAGAUUUAGCACAACGCAAUGUAUGUACACCACCACCCCCAGGCCUCAGCGUCCCGUCCUAUCUGUGUGUGUGUAUCAACUUUCUUUUCUCUAAUGUUACUGGCAUAGGAAUAAUAUUACUAAAUUUUUUUUUUCUGUUUAAUGAUUUGUGCCUUUUGCAGGUAGCCUUGAGUGAGAAUCAAAUAAGAAUAUCGUAGGCUAUAUGGCCUAUGGCAUUGGAAAAGUUUGAAAUAAUUGCAUGCAAUAGAAAUAUUUAGAGACCUAGAUGCUGGCCUUGGCAUUUGCCUCUGAAAGCAACAUGUAUUUACGAGGUCAAUUUAUAUUUUCUUUUGCUGCAUUCUUCUUCUACUUCUACUGCUAUAUCGAGAAGUAUUGGAGAUUUUAAAACUUUUCGCGUGUUUUUAGACUAUUCUGUGUGGGAACAUUACAGAGCGGAAAUGGAACUUGGUUGCGCGUUUGAUCACAGUUUUAUUCUGUAAACAAUGCACACUUGUUCUCUGGAAGUUUAAUGCAUUUCCUAUUUUUCCUCUCUUCUCUUGGUAUAUAACCUUUUAUUUAUUUUUGGGAAGAAUCUUUCAUUUGAUCCUAUUACACAACAGAUUCUUGUGUGUAGUUUGUUUCAUUAGCUGUAGCAUGUACUGAGAUCUUAGCAAUGUGCUUUUCUCGUCUUUAUAAUGCACAUGGAAAUCGUUUUAAUUCUUGGUCUAGAAUAUAUUCUGACCUUGUUUGGCCUCCAUUUUUUAAAAUUUAAACUUGUAAAUCUCAGUUUUAACACGCAUUUCACAAGUUAUAUCGACUUUUUAAAUCUCACAUUUCAUCAAAUUUUAUUAAAAUUUUAUUUUUAGUUAAACCAAAUGGGGACUCGAUGCGAUUAUAUAUAUAUAUAUAUAUGAUUUUUUUUUAAAAACUUAUUAAAUGAAUUUUUUUUUUUUAAACUUGUAAUUUACUAUUACUUCUUGUGUUAACUUGCGAAUGAAAUAUUUACUUGGUUUUAAGUUUUAUACACAAGUAAAGUUUUUAACUCAUAGUGAAUUUUACUUGUAAGAUUAUUUUUAUGUAUAAUUUUUAGCUUCUACGUAAUUUUUUACUUAAUAAGUGACAUAUACUUAUAAGUUAGUGUUGUCUAUCAGUAAUGACCUUUAUGCUUUUAAGUGAAUUUUUAUCUUUUAGUUAUUUUUUAGGUAUGAGCAAAUUUGCUUUACAUAAGUGAUUUACUUAUAAGUAAAUAUUUAGGUUAAUGUAUUUUUUGCUUAUAAGUGAUUUUCUUCUUCUUCUUUUUUAAUUAUGAGCAAAAAUUUUAACUUAAAUAAGAAUUUUUUUUUUUUUUAAAAAAAUAUACCUUAUGCAUGAAUAUUUGUCUUAUAACAAAAUUUUCUCAUAUGAAUAAAUUUUUGUCUUAGAGUGAAAUUUUUUAUCAUAAGUCUUAUUUUUAAUUUAUAACUUUUGACCUUUAAAUGAAUUUUAUACUUGUAAAUAAACUCAAUAUUUUAUGAAUUAUUCAUCACUUUCAUUAUAGUAACAAUUAAUACGAUCUAAAAUGUAAACCCAACUCAAUGGAAAUCUGUUUGUGUGGGUGUCUACCGGAAGAUUAUUUAACCUUAUAAAAAUAAUUCAAGUAUUUAUCAAUACCAAUGAAUGUUACUAAAUCGAUAAAGCUUGUAUUUUUAGCGGGUUGAAGUUUAUCUUCGACCAUUUUUUACACCAUAUCAAUCACGUUAAUUGCAUAAUAGAGAAGUAACUAAAAGAUAAUGAGAUACAAAGAGUGAUAUCAUCAGAACUAUAAUCUAUUUAUUUUGAGGGUUAACCAUUUGAAUUAUACUUGUCGACAUAAAUCAACCUAAUCCAUAAAUUUAUUACAACUAAAAAGUAUAUUAGUAAAUCAUAAGAGUGCAAAAAUUUCAAUGCAAUUAUUAUAAACAUUUGAAAGUGUGUUAUAGAAAAAUCACAAGUAAUGGGGUAUAUGAGUGUACGUAACUUGGUAGGAGGGGCAUGGAAUCAUGGUGUUUGUAGCGUGUAAUAAUAAAGGGAAUAUUAAAUUAUAAUUUGGGAUAGCCCAAAAGGCGCAAGACAGAAAUAGCCCUAAAUUAAAAGGUUGUUUUUUUAGUUCUCUGCUGUGACAACUUUCAACUUUAGAUGACCCAUAAUUGAUAUAAAUGAGUUGAGUGAAAGUGAAGACUGUUAGAACUUGAGAUAUGUAUCAUCCGCUAAGUUAAAUAGGACUUAAUUUAGCUCCCGUUUGGUUCUCAUUUUGUAGAAAUAAAAAUAUGUGAAAUAGUGUUUUUUUUUUAAAUAAGUGGUUAAAAAUGAAAGAAAAGUUUUUGGUUUACGUGUAAUAUUAUUUUAUAAAAAAUUGUUUGGUUGAAAAUAGUAGAGAGAAAAAUGAAAUGUAAUGGAAUGAAAAUUAAUGGAGGCCAAACAGGGGCUUAGUGGCGGAUGAAUUUGUUCAAUUUAAACAUCGAUUGAGUGUAUCUAAACCAUAUGCUUCACUGCUUGUAUGAACCGUGGGAUACUACAUGUGAUAGUUACGUUAGUCGAUAUGCAUUGUGUCUAUUCACUGCUACGACCUUGAAUGAUUUGAUUUAUAUAGUGAGUUCAUAUUAGUUCUAACUUUUUCCUUUUUGUUGGGCCAAUAGUGGAUGGCUUCAUGAAGGUUAGGUAAUUUGCUAUUAUGACUAGGGAUGACAAAAGUUCGGUUUCGGUUCGGUUCGGUUAAAAUCAUCAUCGAACCGUCAAUUUUUUUGCCAUUUCGGUUCGUAUCUCGGUUUGGUUCGAUUCAGUUAAUAACCGCGAAAAUAAAUUAUUUCUUAUAGGUUCAUCCAUCAAAUUGAUAUAAAACAAUUUAUGAAAAGAGAGUCAAUGAAAACAAUAACACAAUAUUCCAAACGAAAAUACAAACAUUAUCCCAAAUUUCAAUUGCAAAAUACAAAUUUAACAAACAAUAUUUUGAAUAUAACAAUACUAAAUUUUUCUUUCAUUCUUGAUUCUUGUGCAUUGUAGUUACUUGAUUCAUGCUUAAUAAUUCAAAAGUUUCGACCUUAACUCAUAUUUAAUCUUCAUUCUUCCCCACAAUUCUUAUUAGCAUAGGUCAGCACUUAAAAUUAAUUCCUAUAUAGUAAAUAAGAAAUGUAAGUAGAGAAUACAACGAUACUACAUAAUCCAGAAUGGUUUUAACUAAUAUUUAAAUAAAAAAAAUGUACAUCUUUGUCAACUUCCUCUUCACUAAACCUUGCCAUCCCUAAUGAAAGAAUGGUUUUUUUUAAGCGGGUAAUCGGUUGGGUUUCAGUUCUAUGGCAUAAAUAUCAUACCCGCACCGCCACGAAUUGGUUCAUUAAAACAAAUACUAUAUCCGCACCAUUGCACCAUCGGUUCGAUUUUUUUUUGUCCCAUUCGGUUCGGUAAAUCGCAAUUUUCGAUUUUAAAGGUUCAAAUUGCCAUCCCUAAUUAUAACCCACCAGUGUGAGAUUAAGAUUGCAUUUUGCCCUUGUUUGAUAGUGAUUAAAAUCAAUUACUUAUCAAAAUUUGAUACUUUGCAAUUGAGAUUUAGAAUAUUAACGCUAUACUAAAUUUUCAAAUGCACCCUCAGAUUAGCUUCUUUAAAGUCUAAUUCCUAUCAUUAAUGCACUAAUUGGAUCACAUUUUUUUACCUUCAUAAUUCAACAAAGAGUGAAAUGAUAAUUGGAGGAAAAGACACAAACGAGUUAACGGGAUGACUCGUGCAGUUGUCUUUCACCAAAAAAUGAAAAAAUAAAAAAAAAAUUAAUGUAUUUAAUUGCAAAGAGCCCAUUAAUCACCAGCAAGAAUUGAUUUUUUGGUCAAAAAUCGCGACUAGACAUGAGCUUAGUUAAUUAGGUAAUAAUCAAAUGCUUUAGUAGGUUUUGAGAGGCCAUGUAAAAUCAAAUAGUUUUUGUCCUUCGAAGUUGACCAUUUUAUUGUUUCAUUUCUUAGCCCAACAAGAUCCAAUCCACUAAAUAACCCAAAACACAUACACUAAAGUGUAUAAUGCUAUCUCGACCUUCGCACUUACUCUAGCAGUUUCGCUAACAUUCCAAAACCUAUACAAUCGUCGAUCGAUGCCGUGACCUCUAAUCGAAGCUGUGACCUUCGCCGACCAAAAUUUUGAUCGUAGCGAUCUUUUGAACAAGAUAGUCUACUAAUCUCUAACAUUCCAAAACAUUGAAUGUGCCAUUAGUUGUAUUUAUAUAAUAUUGUUAUAAAUGUUAAAAAAUUUAAUUAUAGUACAGAACCGAACCCGAACGGUUCCAUAAUUAUAUUUGGACCCGACGGUUCCAUUUACUAGAUACCUGAAAAUUUUGGUUCGAUUCGAUUCUCUUUAAAACCGAACGAACCGACCUGCGCCCACCCCUAUUAAAAAGUAUAAAAAAUUAUCUCUAUGCAUUAAUUUUAACACGUUAACAAAGUAAAUUGUAUUACUUUUAUUUCCUACUUCCAUCUUAUCUUCUCUUUAUUAGGGUUGGACAAAACACCCGAACCGAACCGAACCGAAUCCGACGAUUUUUCUUAAAUUAAAUACCCGAACAGGUAUUUGAAUUGAGAACCGACGGGUAUGGUUCGGUUCUCGGUUCUAGGCCAAGACCCGAAAAAUCGAAUAAGAAUUGAAUAUCCCUAAUUUUUUAAUUAAUUUAUUUUAAAUAAGCAAAAUUAUUUUAUUUUUUCUAAAUAAAUUUGUUAACUAGUUAAUUUAGUUCAAACAAAAAAAUAUGAUUUUCCUAUUUCUAAUUUUUAGUUUAAAGUCAACUUAAUCAAAUUAACCUCAAUUUAUCUAAAUUUGUUACUCUACUGUAACGUUGUUUUUACUGGAAAAAAUCGAAUUAAAGCUCUACAACGUCUCUCUUAAUUAUUUGGAGUUCACUAUCUUUCUUUUCCUAUGAUUUUAAUAAUCAAAUUUAUGAAAAAUUCAGUAAAGAGAGACGUAAAAGAAAUAUAAGAUUGGAUUACGUUAUUUUGUAAGAGCUAAAAUUGAACAUAUCAUUAAUUAAAUUAAUGUAACUUUAUAUAUAUUAAAAAAAUUAAUUAUAAUACGGAACCUCGGAACUGAAUGGAAUCGAACCGUUUUAUAAUUAAAUUUGGACUCGACAGUUCCACUUACUAAAUACUCGAAAAUUUCGAAUUGGUUCGGUUCUCAUUAGAAUCGAGUCGAAUCGGACCAUGUCCAGCCCUACUCUUUAUCUCUCAAUACAUCAACAAAAAAUUAUCGAAACUGGUGGAGGAAGAGAACUACAACUUCAAAAAUAUCUGAAGAAGAGUGGAAAUCACUGCCUUUAACAGCCACCACGCUCACGAUCUUGUGCCUGUAAAAGAAGCGAAGACGAUUCCAUCAGCUUUUCCAAAAACAAACUUCAUAGGAUAUCAAUUCUCAUUUUGAUUCUCUCUCAUUUGUUGUGCAGUGUGCUUGUUAUUACUAUUGCAUCUUUGCAUCUGCUGCAAUAUGUUGCCUUUAUGGUAGCAUUUUUGAAUUACUAUUGAAAAUUUACACUUUUUUUAAUGUCAAACUUCACUUUUUCACUUUCAAAUUAAAAAAAGUGACACUUGACUUAGAAAUAUGACAUCGGGUUUAUUAGAAAAGUGACAUCGUGUUUUACACAAUAUUUUUACUUCCAAAGUACUUUUCAUAAGAAUCUUCAAAAGAUCCCUAAUUUUAGGUGUAUUUUUGUAAGUUGCCCGUAAUAAUUUAUUUAAAUUAGGUCGAGCAAGGCUAUAUUUAGUGAUGGCAAUGGCUGGCUCGGCCCUUUAACCCAUGAGCUCGGCUUGGGCUUGUGGCAAGCUGAGCUCGUGGCUCGUUGCUCGGGGGCGAACUCUACUCGGCCCACGAGCUCACGAGCCACGAGCUCGUGGGCCAAGCCGAGCCCACGAGCUCGUAUUUUAUUAUUAUUAUUAUUUUUUUUUUUGCACUUUUUUGUAAAAAAAUUUCAUACUUUUGGACGAGCUUGGCUCGUGGAAUCGAGCCCGAGCUACCCACGAGCCGACGAGCCGCUCAGCCCAUUUGACAUCCCUAGCGAUAUUGGGUUAAACCUACACGUUGAGGCAAACUGUAGAUAAAUGUGAUGGGCCAUAAGAGGAUAUCUUAGACCUAUCUAGUCGAUUCAACCCCGCCUGUCAUUCUUCUGAUAUUUAGUGAAAAAAACCGUUGAAUGCACCAAAUGAAUGGAGAGAAUCAAACAAGUUGCAGCAUAGACAUUUAUGGUGAUGCUGAUGCCAUUUUGUCCAAGUUGCAUGACUAUUUUCUCUGCCUACGCACACCUAUAAAGUGGCAACUGCCAACCUUUGGGAAAACAAUAUGCAAGCAUCUUUGUGUGGGCUUAUGAAAUUUACUUAUAAGUAAGUUUAUUAAAAGUAAUUUAUGGUUGGGGCAUGUAAUUUAAAAUUAAGUUACUUAUUUAAUUGAAAGUAAGUCUUAAUAUGAAUUGCACAUCCUUGUUUUGAUCGUAAAGAAAAUCUUGUAUAUAAAGUUAUAUGCUUAUUUGAUUUAUUGCGCAUCCUUGUUUUAUCGAUUUAUUUAUGUAUGCACUACAAUAUAAUGAUAUUUUAAACCACUACUUGCAUGAUCGAAUGAUCUAGAGUACAAGUGACAAAAUUAUAUUUUUAAUCAAUGAUUUUUUCAAAAAUAAUACAAAUAUAUAAGUCAUCUCAAGAAGAAAAAUAAACAACCGGAUACAACAAAUUAUUUCAAUACUCUUUGAUGGAGAAAAUUGAAGCCUCUAAUGUUCAAUAUUGUUCCAUAUUUUCAAACUUAAGAAAAUUAUUAAAUUAAACAAGCAACCACUGUUUUUCAUAAUCUUUUUAUUAAAAAUUGAUCAUCUCUUCUUAGAAAAUUUGGAGGAAACAAAUAAAUAAAAAAAGAGAGAUUUUGUAAGAAUUUUUACUCAGAAAUUGAUCUUUUUUAAUAGAAAAGGAAAUGAGAACAAUAAUAAUAGUUUGAAGAGGAAAUGUAUAUAUUUAUAUUUAUACAUAUCAGUUUUUUGGGCUUGUGGAAUGAAAGAUAAAAGAGAAAUACUGAAGAAGGGAAAAUACUACAUAUUGAAAAACAUUUCUUUGUAAAAGCUCUUCAAAAUAUUUUAUGAUAUUUUCUAUUUGAAAUAUUUACUUAAAAGUUAUACGUGGAGAUUUUAGCCAUUGACAUUUUGAAUAAUUAGUCAACGUUGAAAGCGCAUUGCACAUUAUUACGAAAUGCAUUAUAAGUGUUGUAAAAGUAAUAUUUGAAUAUGUAUAAAUGUUAACUGAUUUAUAAUUUAUAUCAAGGAAUAUAUACGUGACAAUGAAUAUUAAAUAUUUUAUUUAAUUUCCAAUUAAGUAAAACUAGAUGUUAAUUAGCAUAUAUGGACGUUAAUAAUUAAAUGCAUUUUUAAAUGUGAAAUUGUAAUUAACUUAUAAUUAGAAUUAAUAACACUAAAGUGCAAAAUGAAGAUGAAUAUUAAUUAAAUAAAUGCGAAUUUUAAUUAGUUGAGAAUAAAUAAUACGAAAUUCAUACAUUAGUGAAAACAUGCAAGUGAAAUGAAUAUGUCAAAUGUACAUGUACAUUGAUGAUAACUAAAUGGUAAAUAAAUUAAAUAAUAUUGAAAAACGAAAAGUAAGAUAUUGUUGAACUAAUUGAAAUAUAACAGGGCUAAGUUGUCAAAAAAAAAAUUGCUUUAUAAGUGUUUUAAAAGUAAUAUUUGAAUAUGCAAAAAUGCUAGUCAAUAUAGAAUUAAUAUUAGAAAAUAUAUACAUGACAAUGAAUAUUAAACCAUUUAUUUAAUUUCAAAUUAAGUAAAACUGGAUAUUAAUUAGCAUACAUGGAUGUGUAUAAUGAAAUGCAUUUUUAAUGUAUAAUUCUAAUUAACUUAACACUGAAAUGCAAAAUAAAAAUAAAUAUUAAUUAAAUGAAUGUGAAUAUUAAUUCAUUAAGAAUUAAUAAUAGAAAAUUCAUACAUUAUUGAAAGCAUACAGGUGAAAUGAAUUUAUCAAAUGUAUAUAUACAUUGACGAUAACAGUUAAAUAAAUUAAAUAAUAUUGAAAAAAGAAAAGAAAGAUGUUAUUGAAAUAAUUGAAUUAUAAUGAGGUCAGAAUUGUCUAAAAAAUGAUUUUCACUUGAGGUGAUAUAUAAAAGGAUUCUCACUUGAUGUGAUAUUUCAAAUAUUAUAGAUUCGUACCUUCCAAAAUUUUGAGAAAGUCUUGAUUUCUUACUUCAAAACAUUAAAAAGACUUUUAAAAAGUCAAAAAAUCUCGGUUGAAUACACUUAGGGCGAAUUUGAUUUGGUCUAUUUUUCAUGGAACGUUUUUCAUCUUCCCACUUUGGGCAUGUUUGAUGGCAAUAACUUUCUUGGUAAUUUGUUUUCCAUCUUCCCUCCACACAUAGUGGUGGCAAUGGCUUGGCUCAACCCUUAAUUGCACAUGCUUGUGGCUCGUUGAAAUUGGGCGAGCUCGGCUCAGUUCGGGAGCCGAGCUUGGGCUCGUCCAAAAUUUAUUAUUAUUUAAAAAAAAAGAGUUUUACAAAUAAAUAAAAUAAUAGAAAACACUUUUAAAAAAAAAUAAAAAGUGUUAAAAAAUACAAAUAAUUUAACAAAAAUAAUUUUUUAUUUUUUUUAUUUAUAUCAUAUUGUAAUACUUUUUAUAAAGUAUAAAAUAUUUAUGUAAUGAAGACGAAUUAUUUUUUGAAAUACAUUUACAAAAAAUAUAUAUUUUUGAUUUUUUUUAAAGUAGAUAAAAUGUAAACACUCUUCCUUUAUUCGGGUUUGGGACCGGCUACAUCAAUUUUAAGUAGGCGGAAUUAAAGAACAACUUGUUAUAACGUGUAUAAUUUUUUAAAGAAAAUUAAAUUUAACGAUUAAAAAAUAAAGAAAUUUUGAUUAAUAUAAUUAAAUCAAAUAUCACUUACUUGACGACAUGCAAUUUCAGCGCAUUUAUCUUGUAGUCGAAAAUGAGCGUCAUGCCAAUCCUUCACGCACAUUAACGCUUCCAAAAUAUCUUUUGUCAGUCGGUUCUUGACAUUGGUCAAAUUCAUUUUAUCUGCACUAAAAACAGACUCCGAAACAACAAUGCUAACCGGAGGUGUUAACAGAUUUUUCGCAAUUGCAGAAACAAUUGGCCAACGUCUUUCAUACUUUCGCCAGAAUUCAAUUACUUCUUCUGAACUUUUUUUAAUUGUUCUGUCUGUUGGCAUAUUAUGAUUGAAGUAAUCAAUUAAUUCGGUAGGCAUCGCAUUUUGAGUUUCGGCUGAUGUUUGAUGAGAUGCAAAUGUAGACGAUAUCGCACUAGAUGAACACAUUGCAGUUGCAUCAUAUCUAAAUGUAUUAAUGCCUUGAAAUAAAUUCAUUAUUUCAGCAUCAUCUUCUUCAAUUUCAGCAGAAGGAGAAGUGCAGAGGGUACCCGACUAACAUUCGCACACAUUCUUUCCGCAUAUAAAUCAUACAUUCCACACAAUAUUUGCUCUAAAUCCUUUUAGGUGAUAUGUGUAUCAAGUAUUAAAGUUUUAUUGAUUUGAUCAGUUACGUAUUUAGUUCCCGAAAUAUUAUAUCGGGGGGUCCAUUGCGCAUGCUAAAAGAAAUAAUAUAGGCAGUUCUUUCCAAUAUUUUCUAAACUUUAAUUUCAUAGUAAUUAUAAUUUCACUAAAAGUAUGAUCAUUUUUAUAUUUAUGGAAUGUUCUUGCAAUUAUAUAAAGGCGUUCAAGUACCAUACAGCUUGUGGGAUAAUAAAAGCCGGAUAAAAUCUUUGUGGUCUCAUAAAAAGAUGUCAAAAAUCGUUUAACUUUCAAAACUAAAAUCCAAUCGGAUUCAUUUAAUAUACCAUCAUCAUCACUUUGAACGUGUCUAUUGUUAUAAAAGUCAGUUAUUAAAUUUUCGAAACCUUCACAUGACUUUAAUAGCAAGUAAGUAGAGCUCCAUCUGUGGCUUACGUCGCUAACAAAUGUUUUAGCAGUCGUCACCCCUAGUUCAGCACAAAAAUCUUCAAAUAUUUGUUUUCUACUAAGAGAGAUCGUAAUAUAUACUAAUGCAUUCCUAAUCCUUUGAAAUUCAUCCUUUAUAUGUUUUAAACCAUCUUGCACAAUUAAAUUCAAGAUAUGACACACACAACGAAUAUGAAACAAAUACCCACGAAAAUCAGGUUGAAGUGUCCUACACAAUUUAUCGACGACUACCUUAUUAACACUAGCAUUAUCAAAAGUAAAAGAUCGAAUUUUAGUCUCAUAAUGAUAUUCUCUAAUAAUACUGAUAAUUGCAUUAUAUAUAUUAUUAGCAUUGUGAGGAAACUCAAUAAUUCUAAAAGUAAUAAUUUUCUUAUGCAUGCACUAAAGUGGGUCUAUAGAGUGUGCGGUUGCAAUUAUAUAUGCUCUUUUAUUAACCCCUUCCCAUAUAUCAAAAGUUAAAGAUAUAACACCCCUAUAUUGUUGCAAAUUCAUAAUUAAUUGUUAUUUUGAAUUAUUGAAAUAAUUUAUUGUAUUGGCAUGAAGAGUGUUUCGACUUACUCCAACGUACCUCGGUUGUAGAUAUUCUUUCACGAACGAGACGAAGUGUUGGUUGUCCGCAAUAGUCAGAGGUAACUCAGUGGCAGCAACAAAUUUCACCAUUUCGGUUUGAGUAUUGUCCUCCGAAUACACCCACGUGGAUAGGGGUGAAGUUGUAGAACCGAUGUCUGGACUGCCAAAUUACAAUUGUGUUUGACCGGCUGGAAGAAGCCCAUCUCGGGCCACACAUGCUUUGUAAUCGCGGUUGAGAUGGGUGGUACCAAUUCCUUUUUGUCAUGUCAAUCUUUGUUGGUAAUAUUUACAUACUGCAAGGCCAUCGACGACUUUUUCCGUUGAAAUCAAUUUAAAGUGAUCCCAAUAUUUUGCUUGUUUUUUGGCCUUUUGCUUUCCCCUCGUAUCUGGGAUGUUUAAUUCAGCAUCUUCAUCCUCAUGUUCCGCUUCGGAAAUGUUAAUAUCAUCCAAAUCAAUUGGAUCAUGGCUUCCCUGACCGUGAAUGUGAACAUCUUCAAGUAUCGGUAGGUCAUUUAGACCUGUAAAUUCAUUUGGAAAUUGACUUUGCGGUGUCCUAAGCGAUUCGCCAUGAUGUGGCCCACAUCCUGUAUCGAACAAGCUUUCAACAAAUGAGCGUUGAUGACACGACCGGUCCCGAAUCACCCUAGUGGACCCGAAACGUGACGUGCGCCGAUAAUAGAUGCUGACUAGAUGUCAAAUCUAUCAUCAAGGCUGACUAUGAGUUAUUUCAAAAAAAAUGCAAACAAAUCAAAUGCUUAUAUAAAAUAUAAUGUGAUAAGCCCAAAAUAUUUACUUCGUGCUUCAUCAAUAUGAGUUAUAAUACUCAACAUGUCGUGUGACUCUCAUUCCGAAAUCAUUAGGCUCUUCCAGCUAAAAAGAAUCAGUUGCUACCUGUAGGAAAAAUCGUGGGAAAAUAUAUGAGUUGAUAACUCAAUGAGUGGAGCAGUUCAAAAAUAAUUAUACUUUUUCAAUUUUUCAUUUCUAUCGAAAAUAUAGUUCAUAUCAUUUAAUAAUUCACAAGAUAACAUCAUGUAAUUAUAACCAAAAGUGAAAUAUUCACAUAAGGUCGUAAAAUAUUAUCUCAAAAUCAUGAUAUAAAUAUCAGCUGAUAACCACGCUAUAAUCUCAUCACAUCAAACAUACUGAAAAAUCCACCAAAAAUGUACCCUCUGACUGAAAUAUAUAAUCCGCCCAUCGGGUUAAGAACUUUCGCCACGGGCUUUUGGCCCCUCCGUAAACGAAAGUCGGUCUCAAAGACCUCUCACAAUCAAUUUUAGAACACGGCCAAUGCCCCUUUGUGAACUAUAUGUACACGAUCAAGACCAAUGUCAGGUCAAGACCCUCCGUGUAGGAUAGAACACGGCCAAGGCCACUCUAUGAACUAGAAAAAUUAUAUAAUCAUGGAUACUUUUCUGGUCGAUCUCAAUAUUGCAUUUCUCACAUACCAAAAAAAUCUCAAUAUCACAUGUCUUACCUAACAAGUCACAAAUAUGUCAUAAUAAUCUUUGAUAUUUCACAUGUAUCAUAAUAAAAGAUAUUUCCAUAAUAACCAUAUAAUUCGAACACGUAAUUGCACACACUUUGACAAUAUACUUAAUUUAUAAAUAUUUUAAAAAUAUUUAUAUUUUUUCAUUCACAGUACUAUGUUCGCAAAAUUAACCCGAUUGGUAAGCUGUUCUGAUGUCAGUAUUGUCGCCUGAAAUACGAUAUAAUUUUUAAAUGAACAAUUAAUUAUUUUAAGAAAUUUCAAUAAUUAAAUAGGCAAUGCCCAAAUUUAAUCAUUUCACAUUUGGGCAAUUUCUACAAUCUCUUUAAUAACUAAAACUAGUUUUUCUUUAAUUUUACUCAAUUUCUUAGUUUAUUGUACGUAAUCCCUUCAAUGAAAUUGAAUUUAAUCUAACAACUAUAAAAUCAAACACAAUUUGACAAUAAGUAAUUUUUUCUUACCUUUCAAAAUUGAGGAAUUCAAGCCUAAUAAUGUAGACCACUUAAUUUCUAACACGUUGGCAAAAAUUUUCUAUAGGGGGAACGAGCAAGAAAAUUCUGGGGAGAACAGUGGUGUGAGGAUGGUGUGCCGUGGGAUGUUUUAGGAUCUCGUAGAAAAUGAUGAUCUUGGUGCAUUUGGAGGAUGGACAGUAUUUGGUAGGAUUGAGGUUGUUCUUUCGACGAAUAAGUGACGUUUUAACCAUUUUUACUAAUUCUGAUGCAGCAUCCUCCGCAGAGGGACUGCAUUGUUGGAUUUGGCUGCUCUUAUGGAGGUGCUUACAUCCUACAAUCAAACAAAUAAGAACUCUCCGGAAAUUUCUGCUUUAGGUUUAACCUACGAAGUUCAAAAAAUUAUACCCGUUUACUGGUUAAUUUCUUUCCAUUUUCUGGAUUAUAAGUACUGAAAGUUGAU
rnacentral:lncRNA from 1 species